AGACAUCGUUGGCUUAUCUAUGCGGCAGCUUACUGCUGACCGUCAAGGUCAGUAACCAAUGUCUACCCACUGACACCAGUACCCCUGAGCAGGGAGGGUCAGGUAGCUACUUGCAGAACGUGACUAUGGGCUUUCCUCAUCAUGGCGCCCUCUUAGCAAUGGCAACGUGACCGACUUCUCUGAAGUACAAGGAAGCAGAGAGGAAACGUGUCUGCUGGAGCGACUACCUCCGCUGAUUUAAGCCAGCGGUGCUUUGACGCACCAACGCACCAACCCCCCCAAUGGUGUGACAUCAAGUGAGCUGAUCGGCUGGCUGCCAGUGAGGGGUGUAUUCAGGAAGGUGAUUAGGACCAGACGAGGGUCAUCUUGGAUCCACGACACAAUCAUCUGGAGGAGUUCUAAUGGAGGGUACCUGAAGUGAGGUCAUAGAGGGUGGUGACAGCAGUGAUGAACUGGCAGCAGAAGCGUGGGCUGGUGCUGUGGAUGUUCUGAAGGGUGGGUACUGAGCCUGGCACCAUACUACAGUAGUCGUCGACCAGCACCUGCGCCAGACGUACGCAGUACACACGCCAGGUUGCAGCGCAUUCCAAGAUAGGAAUCCUGCCCACAGCGAUUGCCAUUGAGACCAACUUGCCCAACAGUGCCAUGCGGCUUUCGUCUGCCUGGUUGCCUUGGAG